ncrna:unclassified sequences DTF3800-III RNA
AAAGCGGUAUCGUAAGUCCUGGUGACCCUGGACCUUCGUAGAAGGUGCCUAGCUCCCGGUGAAACUCCGGGGGGACAGACUGAAAUCGGGGCCCAGGGGGAGCCGCUUU